GACAGAGGGUGCAAACGUUGCUCGGAAUUACUGGGCGUAAAGCGCGUGUAGGCGGAUUGGCAAGUCAGGUGUGAAAUCCCUGGGCUCAACCCAGGAACUGCACUUGAAACUGCCAGUCUUGAGUGAUGGAGAGGAAAGCGGAAUUCCUGGUGUAGAGGUGAAAUUCGUAGAUAUCAGGAGGAACACCGGUGGCGAAGGCGGCUUUCUGGACAUCUACUGACGCUGAGACGCGAAAGCGUGGGGAGCAAACAGG
rnacentral:rRNA from 1 species